GCCAGGCGUGGUGGCGCGUGCCUGUAAUCCUAGCUACUCAGGAGGCUAAGGCAGGGGAAUCGCUUGAACACGGGAGGUAGAGGUUGCAGUGAGCCGUGCCACUGCACUCUAGCCUGGGCAACAGAGCAAGACUCUGUCUUUA
rnacentral:sRNA from 1 species